CACAUUUCCAACAGCAGAUUAGUAUCGUUAGGUAACCUUUACUGAGGCAGAGCAGACCCUUCAGUGCAUCCCUACCGAAUCAGGGCAUCACCAUUCGAUAGGCUUUGACCAAACUGGGUUGAGCCAUUAGGUAGACUCCAGCCGAACUAGGUCUAUACCAUUCGGUAAAUUCCAGCCAAAGCUGAGUCUAUACCUUUCUCUCAAGUUUGUGGUAGUACUCAGAUUCGAGAAUUUAGUAAACUUCUGUUCUCUACACUGCUGCCUCAAGAGUGAGUUAAAAACAUGGAAGGACGAGAAAAGUAUUCUCUAGUCAAAAUUCGAUCGAAUUUAUAAACUUCAAAAUUGUACUCAUUCAUGGACAUAAUCAUGGUGUGCUUUCAGGCAAUGUCUUUCAUGAUUAGACAGUCCGUAAGAGCAAGCCAAAGAGCCAUGGAAUUCUCGUUCGGGAGGUACUUCCGUUUGUAAUGCUUGGGGCAUAAGUCUUCGAAUAAAGAUCAUGGCGGAGGCUUAAUCAGCUCUUCCAUGACAUUAUUGGCUGCAAUGGUCUCUUAGUUUCUUGAUAGUCAAGUAGAGAUUCAUAUCUUGUACCCCACAUAAAGUGGUUUCUAUUAGAAAUGUCCAAAUCAAGAAAAUCAAACUUGUGAUGGUUCAACAAUCCACUGAAUUGGAAGGAACAAGAUUGAGAUUAGUGCUAUGGUAAUUAAUCAUCCAUAAGCAUCAAAGUUAGAACAUUCGAGUUCUAAGACAUGGUUUACAUGAAAAAAUCAAAAAAUCAAUUUUUCAUAGGUGUAUUGUUUUAUGAAAACUUCGGAUUUCAAAGGCACUAAAUUCGAAACUACAAGUUCGAGUUUAGUUAUGAACUUUUGGUUCUUAAAAAGGAGGUACAUGUAAGAACACACAAUACAAUAUACAACUAACUGUAGUGGAUUUGGGUUGCUUCAGGAACUCGAGUGUGAGUGCUUUGGGACUACGAAAGUGAGUCAACGGUUCAAAAAAAUGAAAUAAUUUAUUGAAUCGUUAAUGUCCAAAAGUGAGCUUCAAGCCAAUAAUUUUGGAUUAAUUGUCAGAUUAAUGGAUUGCUGGUCACUUUAAUUAAUUCAAUAGAUCGGACCAUACAGGGACGAUCGUAGAAGUAAAAAAUAAUAAUAACAUUCGGAUUAAAAUUAUAGAAAAUGCUAAACAUAGCAUUGGAUUUGAAAAACCAUACCCCAAUAUCAGUGAGCUUGGGUGCCGUGUGCAGGGCAAGGCUCUAAAAGGGUUAUUGGGCCACGGGUUGGCUGCAGGCCAUGGGCUGGGGUUUUUGGGAUAGGCCCAGCAGCCCAAGCUACUGGUUGUGGGCCAAAUUUGGCGCAGGGGGAUACAGGCCCAACAUGGAAGCUGGCCUAGAUGGUGCACAAGAAGCCCAAC
rnacentral:lncRNA from 1 species